rnacentral:rRNA from 1 species
GACGAACCGUGCGAACGUUGUUCGGAGUCACUGGGCUUAAAGGGCGCGUAGGCGGGCUGCCAAGUCAGGGGUGAAAGCCCACGGCUCAACCGUGGAAGUGCCUUUGAUACUGGCGGCCUUGAGGGAGGUAGGGGCGUGCGGAACUUCCGGUGGAGCGGUGAAAUGCGUAGAUAUCGGAAGGAACACCGGUGGCGAAAGCGGCGCGCUGGACCUCUUCUGACGCUGAGGCGCGAAAGCUAGGGGAGCAAACGGG